UGAAUAGGUAUACAACAAGAAGUUUAGAUUAUUGAACCAUGUUGUGUCUGGCCAUUUUCCUUCCUCUUUACCCAAGAAAAACUGCCUAGCCUUGAGACAGCUCAUUGCCCAAACUGUUUUUCUUCUGCUUUUUUCAUUUACACUGAUAGUCUAAAUAAAAGCUAGAGAGCCCCUGGCUUCAGGGUUUCUCCUGGGAGUCCCUAAAGCUGGGUGUUCUCAGUUGAGAGAGCCCCUGUGGGCCUCUUGGUGACUGACCUAAGUCUCAUCUCUGAGAUGAGACUUCAUCAUUCAUCCUCUAUAUUGCCAUGGUCAUACACUGCUACAAUUGCUGGUAAAAUGGAUGGGAAUUUCCUGCCCAGACAUCACCCGGAGCUGCUGGUCUCUACUGAUUUUCAACUUGUCCCAAACAUUACUGGUGCCAACAACUAUGAGUAUGGCUGGAGCAUCUCCAUAGUGAGACCCAGUAGUUUGGGAGGACAACCAGUUCAAGGUGGUUCUCAGGACUAUGGCAGUACAACCCGGUGCCAUACUCAACUUCAUACUAUCCUUCCAGAACCCAGUUCCCGGACUCUACUGACACCCAGAAGGAGACGAACAGAAAGACCAUGCAGACUGUUCUGCAGAGCACAUCAACACAGAUGA
rnacentral:lncRNA from 1 species